rnacentral:rRNA from 1 species
GGCUCAGGAUGAACGCUAGCGGCGGGCCUAAUACAUGCAAGUCGAACGGUGCAGCAAUGCAUAGUGGCAGACGGGUGCGUAACGCGUAUGCAACCUACCUUUUAUCGGGGACAACAUUUCGAAAGAAGUGCUAAUACCGCGUAAGAUAGUAGUGGGACGUCCCACAGCUAUAAACUUUCGGGGAUAGAAGAUGGGCAUGCGUCUGAUUAGCUAGUUGGCGGGGUAACGGCCCACCAAGGCGACGAUCAGUAGGGGAACUGAGAGGUUGAUCCCCCACACUGGCACUGAGAUACGGGCCAGACUCCUACGGGAGGCAGCAGUAGGGACUAUUGGGCAAUGGACGGAAGUCUGACCCAGCCACGCCGCGUGCAGGAGGAAGGCGCUCUGCGUUGUAAACUGCUUUAGCAGGGGAAGAAAAGACUCAUGCGUGAGGAAUUGACGGUACCCUGAGAAUAAGCACCGGCUAACUACGUG